GCUGCUGCCAUGUAAGAAGUGCCUUUUGCCUCCUGCCAUGAUUCUGAGGCCUCCCCAGCCAUGUGGAACUGGCUCAGUGUGGUCAAAAGAAGACUAUAGAAUCAAGGAUGAAGAGAAGGAACACAGAAUAAAAGGACGUCUCAGCAGGAAGCUCUGUGACUACUAUGUAAUUCUUACAAUACAGCAAAUGAUGCCAUACAGUGAAGCACCUUGAAAGAUUGCUGGGAUAAGCUGACAGCAUGGCAGCCAAAAUAGUGACCCCAGGCUUGCAGGAAUUCUGUGCUUUCUGGAGGAAAUGGUCAUGGGUUUCCCAACCUGCCUUUUAAACUAAGGACCGAGCUGAAGAAGCCCCCGUCUUCCAGCGCAUGUUAUUCCCAUGACAGAUGCUAAAAGUUCAAGGGGAUAAUUCAAUACAAGAAAGAAGAUUUGCUUGGGAAGGUCUGAAUGGCCCUAGCUUUGUUUGUUAACCAUAACCUCUACCAGCUGGAAACACAAUGCCCC
ensembl:lncRNA SYT9-AS1 SYT9 antisense RNA 1